GUAUGAGCCACCACGCCAGGCCUGAUUGGUUUUUUUAAAGAUGUUUUUCUGACUGACUCCACCCAGACUCAACUGUACUGUGGUCCCACCCAGAGGUGGACCCAGUGCAUGAGGACCAUUUUCCACACUCUUAUUAUUUCAUCCCCAACCCAUCAGAAGCAUCCAUUCCCUAGCCCCCUGCUCAUAAAAUUGCCAUAAAAAUCCUAACCUUCAAGCCUUUGGGGAGACUAGUUUGAGUAAUAACUCCAUCUGCCACAUGGGUGGACUUGAAUUAAUUAAACUCUUUACUGCAAUGCCUUGGUCUCAGUGAGCUGAUUUUGUCUGUGCAGUGGACAGGAAGAACCCACUGGGUGAUUAAAACUUUACAAGUUAUAGGGCAAUGGAAAGGAUGGAAGAUUGAUCUGAAUUGGAGGUGGGAAAGCUGACAGAUGGAAUGUAAUAUGCUGCUUAAAAAACUUGAAUGAGAAGGAAGGAAAAGCUAGACCAUCAGCUCUCGUACUGGCAAUCAAGCCCUAAGUUAAUGUCUUCACUUUUUUAUUUUCUGUACUCAAUACUUAUCUGGCCUGAUACAUACUAACUCAACAAAUACAGUUUAAAAAAAGGAAAGAUAAGGGUCCAGGGAGUUGAGAGUACAAACAAGAGAGAAGUUUGGGCUCUGUGUGGUGACACACAGCUGUAAUCCCAGCAUCUUGGGAAGCUGAGGUGGGAAGAUUGCUUGAGCCCAGGACCUCAAGACCAGCCUGAGCAACAUAGGGAGACCCUGUCUCUACAAAAAUAAGAAAUUAGCUGGAUGCAGUGCUUCGUGCCUGUAGUCCUAGCUAUUUGGGAGGCUGAGGUGGUAGGAUUGCUUGAGCCCAGAAGUUCGAGGCUAUAGUGAACUAUGAUUGCACCACUGCACUCCAGCUGGGUAGCAGAGCGAGACCUUGUCUCUAUUAAAAAAAAAAGAGAGAGAGAGAGAGAGAGAGAGAGAAGUUUGAUGGAGUCUGUUCUGCUUUCCCUUGUCUCAGUUCCCUGGACUCAAAUCCUUCCUUGAUUCUACUAUAGUUAAGACAACAAUUGGCUAGCAAGCCUCUGGUUGUGGCUGGCCUUUUGUCUAUGCCUGUAAGAGAUGGUUUAAAAAUCUUUCUGAGGUGCAUAUUGAGAGUACCAUAAACAUAUCCUUCCAAUAUGUAAAUAUAUCAUUCUGAAGCCCAAGAGAAAUGCUAAAUGAAACAAUUACUUCCUGGUACUUGUUUCCCUUCCUGCUCACCACAGAAUAAUCUCUUCAGACUCAUUAAAUCCCUCAGUCACUUCAACCAUUAGUUCCACUGCCUUUGCAUACCUGAACAAAUGGUUUCCUGUUUAAAUCAUGUUCAAUUAGUUUUGUCUUAAAUGAGAGGUUCUCAGCUCUGACUACGUGUCACAAUCACCUGGGGAGAUUAAAAAAUACUGAUGCCAGGGUCCUACCCAAAAUUAAUUAAAUUAGAGCCUCUCAGCAUAAUGCCUGGGCACUGGUAUUAUUUAAAUUCCCCUGGAGAUUCUAAUGUGUGAUUAAAAUUGAGGACCAAUUUCCUAAACCCUUGCAUGGACAUGGUUCUUAAUUAUGCCUCCAAAUAAUGACUCUAUCCUUACCCAGGAGAAACUGGCCAUUGACCUUCAUCCCAUCCUUUGGGAAUGGAAAUACAGCAUCACGUAUUCUGAAUUUGAGGACAUUCCAUUCCCAUAUACCACGGAAUUGCCCCAUUUUGUGCUCCCAAUGCCAAUUAAGUAGACUGAGCUGGCUACACACAGUCAUGCCAGGCAGGAGCUCAUUUUAGUGGGGAAGAUGAACGUGUCUGUGCUAUUAAGAACAGAAGCAACACCAUCUGAAUGCAAUUGAAAAUUUGAUCUCAAGUUGGUAGACUGCUUAGAAGAAGCUGAGUUCCUAGGACAAAGUAUUCCUGCCUGAAUAAAUCUAUGGUAACCUCUUUGGCUUCAAGGAAUCCUGCUGUCUUCUGCACAUUCUUGUACUAUUCCACCUCUAUUCUAAGGUGAUGCUGUGAAAACUUUAAUUUUUUUUUUCAGAACAAUCUUUCAAAUGCAAUUCCAUGCAGAAGCUGGAUAUAGAGGUGGAUAAAAGUGUAGUUGCUCUAGCUGAAGCAGAGAUGUGGGAGGUUUCCACUCCCAGCUCUUACCUCCUCCUCAACUACCUGGAGGUGCUUCUGCUGAGUUCUCCAGUUUUCAGGAACACAGAUUGAAAAUCACCACUUUAGGAUGACAGCAGCAAUAUCAAAAGCCAACAGGCAAACGAUAACACUAGAACAGAAUUUUGAGUUGUUUUGCUCCAUAGAAUGAAAAAGACACUCUUAUUGAGUAGUCAAGGAUACAGAAGUCAACACUCUCAGGAAGAAUUCGAAGAAAUGUGGAGGAAGCAUUAAAGGAAAGGAAACAAGAGCAAGAAAAAUGGAGAGUAACCAGGAUAAUGAGAUUAAAAAAAUUACACUGUGGGAGAUAUGGUUGAAAGAAAUGACAAUGUUUAACCUAGAGAGAAGGAAUGUGAUAACUUUCUUCAAAUAUUUUUAGUACUGUCACAUGUCACUUAACCUUCCUAGGCAUCAGUUUCCUCAGCUGUGAAAAGGGAAUAUUAACUUCAUUACAAGGUUAUCAGGAGGAUGGGUAACCAACCAUCUUCAGUCUGUAUGUCUCUCCAAUGCAUCCUGAAUCACUGGGAUUCCUUUGAAAAGAGAAAAUCAACCUUCUUCUUCCUGUUUCCUCCUCUGUCCUCUCUUCAUGGAUGAAUAAUCAUGUCUCCAUACCACAGGACAUUUCCCUCUGUGAAAAGUUUAAUUUCUGCAUUAAACCACUUGGCUUAAAAAAAAAUGAACUGGGAAGACAUUAUAACUCACAUUCCCCUCUGUGAAAAGUUUAAUUUCCAUAAACCUUAAAUCACUUGACUUAAAAAAAAAAUGAACUGGGAAAACUCUAACUGAGCAAUCUCUUGAGGAAGGACAAUGUUUACAGUAUGCAAAUAACCUAUUUGUCUGCUCCCCCUUUACGGAACUCCAGGGUCAAAGGGCUUCAUAGCUCGGGGGAAGGGAACCCAGAAGCCUGACAUGCUGGCAAACGAGUAAAAGUUUUUUACCCAUCAGA